UGAUAGAGGUGCGGAUUUUAUCAGUAAUACCGAUUAGGCUGCGGAGUCUGUGAGGCGGUAUGAAAGGAAAUUCCGCCGAAAUGGCGCAUCCUCCGCAGGGGCGGCUGUUGGACGUAUUGUUAACAGCAAUACGGCUGUCACUAAGGAUUUUAGUGGAGGGCUAUCCACUAAAUUAGUGGAGGGC
rnacentral:ncRNA from 1 species